rnacentral:lncRNA from 1 species
GGGAGAGAGCCACAUGAGUGAGGAAUUUUGCAUUGGAACUCGGUACUUCUGUGUCACAGUGAAGCACAACACGGCAGAAUUCUGCUGGUGCCACAGAGGGAGCAUGUAGACCAGCCCUGGGCUAGAGGGGAAUGCCCUGCCCCAGUGGGAGAAAACCAAGUCCCUGCCAGUUUCAUCACUGACUGACUAAAGUGGCCUGGGGCCCAGAAUAAAUCUGAGAGGCAGUCAGGCCAUAGGAUUACAGUUAUUGGGCAAGCCCUGGUCCCAGCUGCACUGGUCUCAGGGGCAAUGGACUUGGGUUGUGCAUGACCCAUUGUAACACCAGCCGUGGCAACCAAGGAGUGUCUAUCUCAUCCCUCCCCCUACUCCAUCCAGUACAGCUCAGGAGGAGACUCUUCACUUGGAGAAUGGACAGGGAAGAGUACAAAAACAUUGUCGUGCAACUUGGUUUCCAGCUCAGCUACAGUAAAAUAAAGCACUAGGCAGAUUUCUGAAGGCCCUAAUUCCAGGUCUGAGCUCCUGAAUGACAUUUUUAGACCCACACUGGGACAGAAGGGAAUCUGCUAUCCUGAAGGGAAGGAUCCAUUUCUGGCUGGAUUCACCAUCUACUGACAAAAGAGCCCCUGGUCGUGGAAUAAACAUCGGCAGUAGCCAGGUAGUAGUCAUCAUGGGCCUUGGACAAGACCCAGUACUGUGCUGCCCUCGAUUACCCAGCACACUCCCAGCUGUGGUGGCCACAGAAUUGCCCUCCCCCAACUCCAGGCAGCCUAACAGGAAGGGAAAUUCCUUCUGAUUAGCGGGAAGAGAGGGAAGGGAGUGAGAGCCUUUGCUUAGUAAUUCCCUUAGUAACCCAGGGAAUUCUUUCUUUUAAAAAAAAUUACUUUAAGUUCUGGGAUAUAUGUGCUGAACGUGCAAGUUUGUUACAUAGGUAUACAUGUGCGGUGGUGGUUUGCUACACCUAUCCACCCGUCAUCUAGGUUUUAAACCCGGCAUGUGUUAGGUUUUUGUUAUAAUGCUCUCCCUUCCCUUUUCCCCGACUCCCCGACAGGCCCCGCUGUGUAAUUACGUCUGGAAUUGGUGGGUUCUUGGUCUCACCGACUUCAAGAAUGAAGCCGUGGAUCCUCGUGAUUAAAGUUAGGACCAAAUGCUGCUCAGAAAUUGUUUUAAUCUCAAAAGUAGUUGGCAAGUUUUCAGAGUUCAUUUUCAAGGCCUGGUGUAUGGUAAGUUUCCUUAUAAUGAGUUCUCUAACAUGUUUGGCUUUACUUGGGUGACAGCUUCAGGGAAAUAUUAUGACCCUGUUUCUAAGACUGAUCUUUCUAUUUAGCUUCAUAAAUUGCUUGAUGUCAGCAAGGACAUAAAUAUAAUCUUUAGGUUUUGUGGAAGAUGGUAUCUUGAAUAAAUUUCCAAAAGCCUUUUAGAAAAUAAUGAACAACAAAACUGACUUUUCUUUGGUAUUUAUAGACAAGCACUAAAGGCAAUGUCAUCUACAAACUCAGAGGUAAAUAACCUCAAAGAGGCUUUCAGCACACUCCAGAAGUAUAGUAAGAAAAGCAGCAAUCUGGGAAGUUCUCAGUGAUGAGGUUACCAUAAGUAUAAUCCAAAGUUCAGCAACAACCCUCUAGUUUCUGUUCAUGUUCUUUGCAAUCCAGGGGCUGUUCUAAACUGUCAUCACACUCCUCAAGCCAUUAGCAACCUCAACAUCAGCAAGUGAUAUGCCCUACUUCUCCCCAGAUAAAUUAUGAUAUUGAGGAUGACCUUCUCUUCCCUGCUUCUGCCCCUGGACUUUGCAUACAACCAACUCUGCCCAUCAGGGAGGUGUAACUGUGGCUAAAACGUCAUGUGCUAAAAAUUCCUUCCCUAUUUAUCCUCCUAUGUCUUGCCCACCAAAUUUUUGUCUUCCUAUUUCUCUUUAAUCCUUUCCUUUUCAGUGAUUUCUUUCCUUUGGAACAUAAACAUAUUUCUUUACCUCAAAAGUCAAACCCCUGACUUGAUCCUGUAGUCUCCUCUAACUACCUUUCUCUUUCUUUCCACUUAUGCUUCUGGAAAUGUUGUCACAAUUUUCUGUCAUGUUUUUCUCUUCCCAUUGAAUUUUGAUUCUUCUGCUGUGUGGAUUUCCUCCUUGAAAUCUUCAGUGAAACAACUGAACAUUCAGAGCUAUUUCAUUUUCAAAGAUUCUCACAUGUGAGUAUUCCUCUUUCUGAAUAUAAUCCCCUUUCUAUCUCUUUAAUUUUGUUCUUCCAUCAAAACUUCUCUUUCAACACAGGCUGAGAUUAAAGUUUAUUUCUUAUGGCUUCUGAGACAUCUCUCCCUAAGAGAGCAGAAAGGCCUAUUCAUGUUAAUAUGUCCAAAUCAAACCCACUACACAGAUGUACUCUCAAACCUACAUCUUUAUUUCCUAUCUCAGCUAAUGAGAUAACAAUCUCUCCCUCUCCCAAAGUAGAGACCUUGGAUCCAUCUUUAAUUAUUUCCUAACUCUAAUUAUUAAAUCCAAUCAUACACCAAAAAAUGAUGUUCUGAAUACUCUCUCUUUCAUUUGUGCACUCCUUCUUUGUCGUAUCUCUCCUGGACUAAAAUAAUAGUUUCUUGCAGGGUGUUGAAUAGUGUCCCCUAAAAAAUCAUGCCCACCUGGAACCUCAGAAUGUGACCUUAUUUGGAAAUCGGGUGUGCAGAUGAAAUUAGUUAGGGAUCUCAAAAUGAAGUCACUGUAUUAUUAUUGUAGAUGAUUAUGUACACUAAGUUCAAGGACUGACGUCCUUAUAAAAAGAGAGGGUACACACACAGCCAACAGAGAGAAGAAGGUCAUACGAAGACACGCAGAAUUUGGACUUAUGCGGUCACAAGUCAAGGAGUGCUUGGAGCUACCGGGAGAUGGAAGAGUCAAGGCAGGAUUUUCCCUGGAAGAUUUGGAAGGAACAUAUUUCUCCUGAAACCUUGAUUCUAGCCUUCACUAAUGACAGAGAAUAAAUUUCUGUUCUUUUAAGCCACUCAGUUUGUGGUACUUUGUCUUACAGAAACCCUGGGACACUAAUAAAUUUCCUAAGUGGUAUACAUAACAUCUUCUAACAUUAUGAUUCUAUGGAAUGCUUUGAUAAUCAGCUAAAAGUUAUCGGCUGUCUCCCAGGAAAGAUGCACAAACAUACAUAUUCAACAUUUUGUGUUCAAUUUUUCAAGUUUCCAGGAUUUCCAGGGCCUCUCUACAGAUC